rnacentral:rRNA from 1 species
UACAGAGGGGGGCAAGCGUUGUUCGGAAUUACUGGGCGUAAAGGGCGCGUAGGUGGCCUUCUAAGUCGAACGUGAAAUCCCUGGGCUCAACCCAGGAACUGCGUCCGAUACUGGAAGGCUUGAAUCCGGGAGAGGGAUGCGGAAUUCCAGGUGUAGCGGUGAAAUGCGUAGAUAUCAGGAGGAACACCAAUGGCGAAGGCAGCUCGCUGGGACGUGACUGACGCUGAGACGCGAAAGCGUGGGGAGCAAACAGG